rnacentral:lncRNA from 12 species
GGCUCAUUUCUACAUCUAUAAAAUGGGGAUUACAAUCAAAUCUCCUCAGAGGUGACACUUCCCAGUUAGUUAUGAGGCUGUGUCUCCCAAAGGGCUUAAACAAAUCAGAAAUACUACCCAAGUCCCUGGACUUAGGAUGGAGAGUGGACGAGGAGGAAACCUCUGCAAGAAGAUAGAGCUGAGGCCCGGCUGGAGCCAUGUCAGCAGCUGAAGUGGGUCCGCUACUGAGGAAGUGCCCUCCUGGCCCCAGCCCUGCCGUGAGUCCCUUGUGGAGUCAUCCUGCAGGCCUCUCCUCAUGAAGGAAGUCUUCCUUAGAGAUCGUCCCUCACCUCUCUCUCUGGCUGGAGUGGUGAGCAGCCACCUGGAUGCUCCGCAUCUCGAUUCCAGCCAGCUGCACUCGGAGGGCAUCACCGUGUAAACUAUGACUGUUCCUGUACCUGGGCAGUGGAGGGCUCGUGACCAGGAACCGGCUGGUUGCCAGGGAGGCCUCCUCCCUGCUUAGGCCCCCAAGCACUUGCAUUUCCUUCUUCCUUAGAGCCUGCCUCCUGGGGAAAUGGUACUUACGGAGAUUGAAGAGUUCCAUACCUCUCUCACCUGCUCUCUCUUUCCUGAGGCCCUGAGAGGGAGCAGCAGAAGCUGUGGCUGGCAGGGGCCCCCUGAGACGCCCAGGUGAAAGAGGAGGGGUGGCGUGGAGACUUAACCAAUUUGGAAAGCACUGUGACCCAAGCACAUUUUGCAGCAGUAUGUCAGAUUCGGCCUUUCAGGCAUGCCAUUAGUGUGCACGCUGCCACACAGAAAUCAGCGUCGCAAAAGGCACAGCCUUCCCCACCCUGCCGGUGCUUAGGAACUAACAGCUCUAAUGAGAAAUGAGAGCUGAAAGGAGGGAGAUGGGGGGCAGGCACAUCAGUGCGGGCUGGUGCUGAGUCUUGGAGGAGGCUGACCCACUUCUUUUGGAGGAUCUAAAUCUUCUAAAAAAUUUUAAUAAAGUGCUUGGACUCUUGAUUUUCCCACUGAGGACUUUGCUGUCUAAAGUUGGAAAUGAGGGAUCCCUAGGUGGCACAGCGGUUUGGCACCUGCCUUUGGCCCAGGGCGCGAUCCUGGAGACCCGGGAUCGAAUCCCACGUCGGGCUACCGGUGCAUGGAGCCUGCUUCUCCCUCUGCCUGUGUCUCUGCCUCUCUCUCUCUCUCUGUGUGACUAUCAUAAAUAAAUAAAAAUUAAAAAAAAAAAAGUUGGUGGGAUCCCUGGGUGGCGCAGCGGUUUGGCGCCUGCCUUUGGCCCAGGGCGCGAUCCUGGAGACCCGGGAUCGAAUCCCACGUCGGGCUACCGGUGCAUGGAGCCUGCUUCUCCCUCUGCCUGUGUCUCUGCCUCUCUCUCUCUCUCUGUGUGACUAUCAUAAAUAAAUAAAAA